UCGACGCCCACCUCUACAGCGGCGGCAAUCCGCUGCCGUGGCCGACGAGGUACAGGAUCGCCCGGGGGGUCGCGGCGGCGCUGCUUUACCUCCACGAGGAGUCGGAGCAGUGCGUGGUCCACAGGGACGUCAAGUCGAGCAAUGUGAUGCUGGACGCCAAUUUCAACGCCAAGUUAGGGGAUUUCGGCCUUGCGAGGCUCGUAGACCAUGGCGGCGGCAUGGAGACGACGGUCGUGGCUGGGACGAUGGGGUACCUGGCGCCGGAGACCGCGACGACGGGGAGGGCGAGCAAGGAGUCGGACGUCUACAGCUUCGGGGUGCUGGCCUUGGAGAUCGCCUGCGGGAGGAGACCCAUCGAUCACGGCAAUAAAGAGGGACGAGUUAGUCUCGUCGACUGGGUGUGGAAUCUUUGCGCGAAGGGCGGUAUUUUGGAGGCGGCAGACGAGCAGCUGGGCUCGGACUUCGACCGGCAGGAGAUGGAGCGGCUGAUGGUGGCGGGCCUGUGCUGCGCACACCCGGACCACAGGCAACGGCCGUCGAUGCGGCAGGUGAUCGGCAUUCUCCUCUUCGAGAUGCCGUUGCCUAAUCUGCCCGCCGAGAUCCCGGAGCCAUCCUACGGAGCGUUUUCCGUUCCAGGGUUCAACUUGACCGGCAUCAACGGAUGGUCAUCGUCUACGUCGGCCAACUCCGGCGGAUUCAGCACCGGCCCCUCCGUCGAUUCAGCUGGCUCCACUGACAGCAAACCGCUUCUGUAUCCACGCGUCAGGUAAAGCCGUCGAAUUCAACUCUUUCGUUUUGUUCGUCUUUCACUCAGGAUUUGAGUACAGCGAGAGAGCGAGAUAUUUCUGUGUUAUUUGCACUUUCUUCCCAACUGUUCUUGCUGUAAAAAUCCCUGUAACCAAGGUUUCGAUCCUUGGAGCUUAGCUCCCUCGUCCUACUCAGUUGACGGUGGAUUCUCGCGUGACCCAUGACCACGAUGCAUCCCGGCAUUUUCGUGGGGAUCCUGAAUAGAUAUGAUGGAAAGGAAAGGCUAGGUUCGGCCUCCAAAGUCUGUCUAUUGCCUUCCUCCCACUGCGGCGACGCGCUCCGACGACCCGUCGCGAGAACGGCGCCCACGGGACGCCGAAGGUCAGGUGCUGUUCACAUCUUUUGUCUGCUCUGUUUCAUGGGUCCUGGGUGACUUCUUCACCUGUUCCGGCCCUCCCCUCGGACGCGGACGAGAUCCGAAGAAUCAGCUUGGACAUGAGAUCGAUUCAGCCCGUCCGAGUUUAUCUUCCCUUAAAGAUGGUGUUUUACGUGGGUACUACUCCAUUACUCUCCCGUCGGCGUAAGAGGACUCCUCCUGACGCCAUCACCUUCUUCCUCCCCUUGGUGUCCGCAAAUCUCACACCUGCAUCACCGGAGAUCCGAGUUCGGAGUUCGGCGACAGUUCUCGUCCCGUCGGUGUAAGACAGUAAGAGUACCUCACAGGCUCGCAAGGGAAGACCGCAGCGGCUUUGCCGAACGAUAUUACCCGGGCAUCUUUCUCCGCCGCGAUGGGUCCCCCGGCCUCGCCUCAACAAAAAAAAAAAUCGUCGCAACGACCAUGGUUAGCCUACGACAUGACAGGGGCCGCCCAUCUACCCAUAUUCAACAAAGAGCAUCCCGAAAGAUUCCGAAGCUCGAGUGCUGAGGGGACCCCACAGCUGGAUACCCUUCAUCCAGGGACCUAUCGUCCCUCCGGGGGGUCCCCUUAUCUUUCGUCUCCUGGCUGUCCGUCGCUGGCCCAUCACACUGACAAGUCACAGGCAGCUGGCCGGGUGGAAACUGGUGAUGCUGGUGGGAGCUGGCAUCACCAGUUGAUAAAGAAGGUAGGCGGUGCUAGUUAGACCUAAACUGCAUCUCAUUCACCUCACAUUUAGUGUGGCGCAGGACAUAAAGGAACCAAAACAGAAAAAAUUCAGGCGAGAGGAGGGCAAGAGAUCAUUCUCAAGGCCGCAUCAAAUGCCUCGAGCGAUAACUUCUCCGCAAACGGUACGCCGUGCCCGAUUGAGGUCCGUACGCCGCCGUCCGCUUUUUCCGAAAAUAAAAAGGGCAAAAGGUAAUAUUUCGGGUCUCAAGGACUGCGCUGUAAUUUCCUGAUGGGAACAACUAUAAUUUAAUGUUAGUCAUACGCAAAUAAUAAUCCAUUCGCCCAGAACGGCACUCGUGAAGAAUAUAACGUAUAUGACGGCUAUUAAACGCCCGAUUGACUGGGUGAACUUUUCUCUGAUUGGCAACCAAAGUCCUUGGUUACCCCUUCUUCAGACUUGAUAAACGGGACCGCUCCUCCACGUUGGCGAUGGGUCAAACUUUAGAAGUACUCAGCUUUUAGAAAAUGACAUACUUUGGCUGUCAUAGCACUAUUUUUUUAAAAGACUCUUUUGGGCGGUCUACAACGCACCUGGUGCCCCCUUGCUGCCGUGCUAUGCUACCCUGGUGUAGAAAUGGAUUUGCCUCCAAGGUCUGGUCAAGCUUGCACCUUGCUGGGCAAUUAUUGUGCCUUUGACGAAGUAUACAAAAUUGACUUCACACAUGACCAAGAUGGGUCCCGAUCUUACCCUUUCAUGCAACUUGGGCAUCUAGAGAGAGAGAGAGAGAGAGAGAGGAGAGUGUAGUUUAAGAUUUAUGGGUCAUGUCUUACCAAGCCUUCACACAUGACCAAGAUGGGUCCCCAUCUUACCCUUUCAUGCAACUUGGGCAUCUAGAGAGAGAGAGAGAGAGAGAGAGAGGAGAGUGUAGUUUAAGAUUUAUGGGUCAUGUCUUACCAAACCUUUGACACAACUUGGAUAAUGACUAGAUUGCCUUUCUACUUUGGGUUCGAAGAAAACUGGCUGUGGCAGAAGUUUUUUUAGGAUUUAAAGUUUCCUGCAUUUAAUUAUUUAGGGCUUUUAAUUUUUUUUUUCCAUUAAUAGCAUUAGUCAAUUAUGAUACCUACGCUUUUUCCAUGACCGAACUCAUUAUUGAUUCAAUUUUUAUUACUAAAACAUACAAAUAAUUAAUUUUUAGUGUUGGAGAUUCAUAUUUCCUAUAUUUUAUCGAAUAACCUAAAUUUAUUUGCUAGUUGCUGAAAGCUAAACUUUAGUGCAUGAAAAUUAAGAUUGACUUCCGGAGAUGCAUGGAAGCGCUUAUUGAGCCUGAUAGACCAAAUCUUCGGGCGGAUCUAAUGACGCUUAUUAUUAAUGGGCCUUGGGAAAUCCCAACCCUUUACUAAGCCUGCCACAGAGCCUAAUCAAGGUUCGGCCUGAUAAUGAGGAGUGGCUUUGGGCAUCCCCCCCCCUUCUUUAUACAUUUAGGGUCAGCCAGAGAGUUCCCUAAGGCCCAGUAAUAAGCACCAUUUAGGGUCAGCCAAAUAAUAAGCACCACCACUUCUGUUCUAUGUGGGACACCUGAUCUAUUAGUAAACUUUAUCAUUUAUCUUAGUGUUUCAGAAGAUCUAGAACCACUUGAUGCUUAUUUGAGAAAGCACUCAGAGUAAAAAAAAAUGGCCUUUUUUUUAAAAUAACAAUAUUUUUGCUCUCAACGCUGAUUUUCUUUGCAGAUUCAAGGGCCGAUCGCCCCUUAAAGCGGCUAUCAAUAUUCCAUUGGAAUCGAUGUCGAUCCGCAGCAGCUCCUGCAAUGUGUCUUGAAUUCCGUGUCACUCAUUGAAUAAAAUAUUCUGGGCUAUUUUGCCAAAUAAAUGGAGAUAUGAAUUGCUGGGUAAACAUACUGUUAGUGACGAACAGUAUUACGUCAGGUUGAAGAAAACUUAUUCCCGAUCACAUAAGCCCCUUGGGAGAUAUUUCCCUAUAUGGACGUGUGCCUUACACAGUGAAAGCCAGUUUCAACUAUGGCUUUGUCAGAUAUGAAGAGGGCACCGGGGGAAGCUUGGUUCGUACAGAGAUAUAAAACUUCGAGAAGGCCUGCCUCUCUCUCUCUUGUCUCUUCGAUUUGCAUGAAGAUAAAUAACUGGGAAAAUAGAGAGGAAGAGGGGGCAGGACAUCCGAGGAGCGAAGAUGCAGAAAAAUGGAGGCAUACAGCUGAGGAGUGUUUGGGUUGUUAGAGAUGAAAGCCCAAUAUGGACUUAGCGCGGAAGCUAGAAGACAGAAACAAAAUGGACAACUCACAACCGGAGACACAAGGAUUUACGUGGUUCGGAAGUUGGCCUCCUACGUCCACGGGCGGCGAUGAAAAACUCCAUUAGAUGUAGAAAAAGUACAGAAUAGCACUCCCCAAAACCCAGAAUACAGACCUUUAAUCUUGGCCCUCAAAAAACUCACUAGUUCCUCACCAACAAGUAGAGAUCACUCUGUUGAAAACUCACUCCCAACCCUCUAGUACCCUCUGGUCACUAGUGCUACUACUGAUGCUACAUAUGAGAUGAAAAGAGAUGGCCUCUAUUUAUAGACCUCCUGGAACCACCUCGGGAAAUGUGCCAGCGACUCCUCGGGAAACGUGCAGACGGUUUCCUCCUUAAAGCUGGAACGGUUCAGCUGAACCGUUUCCCUUCCGGUUCGGCCUGCCCGUUACUAGGCCGUUGAGAAGCGUGAGAAGCGGUCCACAUCGUGGGCCGUUUCAAACGUCUCACCUUCUCUCUCUCUUCUCUCUCUCUCCUCCGCAUUUAAUGCGGUCUUCUCUGCUGCCGUUUGAGCUGACAUGAUGUGGCCUUGAUGAGCCACGUGCCCAACAUGGGUCAGGAAGGUCGAAACCCAUCCGAAUCGGAGCCGCUCUCCCUUUUUCUCGGCUCAUGAUUCUGAACAUGAUUGGACGAAUCCGAUGGAGAAGCUGGGCCGUACCAACCGAUGUUCUUCUUCCGGGCUUUCGGAGGGGAGGUAGUCGGCCUGGAAUCCGAGGAACCUGUUGAUGUGGGUGGCGACGGGCCGGGCAUCCCCAGGGGAGUAGGGCAGAAGAGCCUCAAGAUCCAUGGUUCUGAGGACCUGGCCCAGGGACUGGGGGCGGGAGCAGAACAGGUGCUUCCUCGCCGCCAGCUCGUCCGCCAGCUCGUUCUGGUGGUUGUCCAUCAGGUCCUAGUUGACCACCACGAUGAGUGGUUUCCCCACACGCAGAGUCUCAAAAAUGAUGCCCGAUCCUACAAAGCGGAGCAAAAUUUUUUCCAUCAGAGGAUGCUCGGCGGAGAGGCGAUCCACGCCCGAUUGGGCCGGCAGUUGCAUGCUUUUUUACUCCUAUGAAUUUUAAUAACAGAUGGAGAAGACUCGCAGUAAGACUUUUGAAAAUAAGCUUAUGAUAAUGCAAGGAUACAUGAAGAGAUUUUGAAUCCACAGUUCUUUCCUUGAUCAAAAAUAAGAAUAGCAUACAUCGUCUUAAAUAUUUCUUGUAGAUCAUUGAAAAAAACUAUUAAAAUUUGAAGCACAUGGAGAUAGAUGCCUAUUGAUCACCCGUCACAAUCGUAAUGAGAAAAAUGAAUAAAAAUGAAGUAUAAACAAUCUUUCAGAUUCCAAGAUAUUCUUCUUCUGACGAUAGAGGGGAUAUAAGACCCGCGCCCCAUCUGGAUGACCAGAUCAGUGUGACCUCUCCUCCCGAGUUCCUCCCUCACUGCCUGUGUAUCCAUGGCGCGAACCAGAGCAUCGAAGCUGGUAGUGCCAACUGUCACAAACACAAUCCUCUUCGCUCUCUUACCAUUUUGAUCUUCUCCUAUUUCCUUUUCUGGCAUUCGUGAUGCGGCACGGCCCAACGCCUUGUUGACCGAUGAACGUGGAGCUGGUCAAGAAUAGAAACCUGGAGAAUCGCAAAGUGGAGGACGUGAAUCUCGCCAACCGUCACUACUCACGUUGCCGCCAUAAUCACCGAAACGGAUGAAUUUAUCAUUCCUUAAGUCUUGCUGUUUCAGUUACAAUUUGAGGCCCAUAAAUCGGCUAAAAGAACUCUGAUUUGCGGAGGAUAGAGAAAUGGAAUUCAAGGAUUAGUUCCUUACCUGAUCGAAAGAUCCCGUCGCCCCGGGUAGGGUUGAUCGGAGGACCCCGCUACUCCCGGUCUGGAGCACCCUUCCCCCUCCCUUAUCUUUCUUCUAUCGCCGUCGUCUUCCCCCGCCGCUCACCACCGUCGACGCUCUCUGCCGGCGGCCAUCGCCCCUUUCGCCGCCGUCCUAUUCUCGUCGACCGCCACCACCAGCCGUCCCCUUCCCACCGCCUGCCGCCGCCUACCACCGCCUUCCCACUGCCCGCCACGGUCUGUCGUCGCCUUGUCGCCAGCCACCACCACCAUCUGCCGCCGUCGCUGCCGCCUCCUGAAGGCCCUUCCCCUCUACGGCUAGGGCUUAAUCCCUCAGUCGUCGGCCGAACACCUUCUGGCCAACCUCUGCCGGUCCACUACCGCCGGCCCCAGCUCCAGCCCGUAACGAACCGAACCGCCCACUGCAAGCCGUCUGACCCUCCGGUCCGAACCCGGUCGACCCGAGCAACCGGGUUCGAGCCAUUUCGUCACCUGACUCGAGUCACCUUGCUCGACCAUUACACUAGUCUGAUUUGAGCCGCCCCAUCCGUCAAUCAGAUUGAGCAGUCAACAGCAAACGGUCAACUAUCUAUAGUCAACGGUUAAGGGUCAAUAAUAAUUACUCAACAUAUCGGUCAACGGCUAAAUUUUAUUUCAAGGCUCAAGUAUAUCUUCUACACUUUUUACAUUUCAUUUGUUCAUUUAAUAUACUUUCUUACUAUAAUCACAUAAGAGAUCAUAAGGUAGCCACUUUUUAUUAUAUAUUAAGUUAAUCAUUGCAUCAUGAUAUAAAAUAUUUUUUGAUCUAUUAAAUAAAUGACCAUCCUAAUUUAAGUAGUUUUCUUAAACUACUUCAAGUAGUAUGUUCAUUGAAUACACCUUCUUUUUGCUCAUGUCACAUUGGGUAGAUAGCUUGUUGACAUUUGGGUAUGAUUUCCCUUUCGUCUAUCGCCGUCAGCCACCACCGCCUGCAAUGCCAUCACUUGCCACUGCCGCUGUCAUCGUCUUCCCUUCAACCGCCGCUGCCUGCCCAUCGCCCUCUCUACAGUUGACAUCCCCCUCCAGCAGCCACCGCCUUUUCGCUGCCAUUCCCCCUUCAUUGCCCACCAACACCAGCCUCGCCAUAUUGCCACCACCUCGCCACCACCUCGCCACCACCUCGCUACCACCUCGCCACCACCUAGCCGCCGACCUUCGCCCUCACCUCCCGCCGUCGCUGCCCGCUCCCUUUUCUCCUCUCUCCGUCACCGAAUGCCAUUCCCCUUUCACGGCAAGGUUUAAUCCCCGAGUUCUGGGCUUGACGUCAUUUGGCCCACUUCCACCGACCCUUUUGGCCAACUGCGCCCGAACCAUCUGGCGCGAGCCAUCAAGGCGCCCAGGUCAUGUCAGAUCCGUCCCUUAAGGUGUGAGUCGCUACAUCUGACAUGUUGGUCAAUAGUCAAUAGUCAACAGUCAAAAGGUCAAAAUUCCGGUCAAUAUUCAAUAUUCAAUAGUCAAUAGUCAAACGUCAAAACAUGUCGGUCAAUGGUCAACACUUAUUUUCAAGGUUCAAUUAUAUCUUACUAUUUCUCUAUUUCAUUUAUUCAUUUAAUAUACUUUCUUGCUACGAUCCCUUGAGAGAUCAUAGGAUAGACACUUUUACAUUUUCAGUUGAUUCUUAAACCUUGGUAUUAAAUAUUUUCUGAUAUAUAAAAUUGAUUCAGCUCGUCUCAGUUUAUUCUCUUUCAAUGGUUUUUUAUGUGGGUAUGACUCCCUUACUCUCCGGUCGGGGCGUAAGAGGAUUCCUACUAACGCCAUCACCUUCUCCCUCCCCUUUUGCACUCAUAAUUCACAUACAGCACCAUUGGAGAUUCGAGUCGGCGGCAGUGCUCCGCCCGUUGGUGACAGUACCACACGGGCUGAAACUUGCACCAAUUUGCGGCUCGCAGGGGGAGGCAUCCUUCACCGCCUUGCCUUGCCUCACAAAAAUAGAUAUGUCUCGUGGCAACGACCCAGGUUUAGCAUACGCCAUGACAGUGGCCGCCCAUCUACCCACAUUCCACGGAGAGGACCGGUCCUCCCUCUUGGGUUCAUCGCUUGUGCAUCGUGCUGGAGGAUCGUCUUCCAUCCCCCGAGUUUCUCAGUCGUUUCUCUCUUGCACUGGGACGAGGCUGCCGGGCCGCCGGCUGGAAGGAAACGGAUGGAGCUCGAGGGAGCUGCCCCCCAGCCAGUCGGCAAAGAGUGGUGGUGGCACUGGUUAGACCGAAACUGCAUCUCAUGCACCUAGCCUUUUAUGCCGCGCGGGAAGAUUAAGGAACCAAAACCGAAAAAUCCAGGCGAUAGAAGGGCGAAUAAGAAAGUCAGGAGGCCCCUCUCACCGCCGCAUCAAAUGCUUCAAGCGACAGCUUUUCUGCAAACUCAUAUCCUAUUUCUUUCGUUUGGCCUACGUGACUGUGUGGACGCAAAGAAACGCCAGUGAAGGCUUAUGAAUGUCGGAGGGAGUUGACCCCGAAUGGUAGGUGUCUCCCGAUCAAUGAUGCGGUGUCUACGGCAGUGGGCACACACCCCGCAGCUUUCACGGGAAAACGGAGAGCUUCCCCCCGCCGGGGGCCCUCCCAUACAGCUCCAGCCUUCCCCCACUCCCUGCGUCCCUCUCAAUAAUCCCUUCCACACCUGUCUCCCUCGGGGAUACUUCGUCAUUCAUAAACUACAUAAAAAAAGCUUUUUUCUUUUUUGGUCAUUCGCUGCCCACAAGUGAUAAGAUUAUUUUGGCUGCGGGGUGUUUGGCCAGUGCGGUCACCUCUUCUCGUUUAUUUCUUCCUUGACGGCCGCUGACUAUUAGGAUGAGCAGGCCGAGAGCUUGUUCUCUUGUUUAACUGGUUCAAGUCACGGCAUCGCCGACCCAUAGGAUACGGCGUACCGUGACGGCUUUCUCACCUUAAAGCGGACCCGAGGAGGCCCUAACCCUCCUCCACGGAAAUCAUCGCUGAGCCAUGCCACCGGGCGCCUCCAUCGCCUCUUUGCUCCUCCUGCUCGCCUUCGUCCUCGAGGCGCGAGGGGAGACGGUGACCACCUCUUUCGACUUCCCCAGUUUCGACUCCAGCCCCGCAGACAUCAUCUUCCUAGGCCACGCCUCAUCCGCCAACGGCUCUCUAGAGCUCAACGAGGACGGCGAUUACAGCUAUGGCCGAGUCAUCUAUUCCAACCCAAUACAUCUUUGGGACAACGAAACCGGGAAUCUCGCAAGCUUCGCCACCAAUUUCUCCUUCCCCGUGAUCCGGCCUCCGAACAAGGGGUAUUUCGCUGAUGGAUUAGCCUUCUUCCUUGCCCCCACGGGCUACGGUAUACAAGAUAAUAGCUCGGGUGGCCUUUUAACUCUCUUCCAAAGCUACAGCAAAGGCCGGUCGGUUAAGGUUCCCGUGGUAGCCGUCGAGUACGACUCCUACAAAAACCUAUGGGAUACGUUUGGCGCCCCCCAUGUGGGGAUCGACAUCGGCUACAUCGAGUCCACACAGUCGGCGGAGUGGGAGUCGAUCUCCGGCCAGGACAGAAGCACCAUCGACGUAGUGAUCACCUACGAUGCCGGCACCACCAGGCUUAAAGCCUACUUCUCGGAGAGGAAUGGCACGGACCAGAGCUUGGCUUGGGACGUCGACCUGAGAAAGGAACUCCCCGAAAGUGUGAACAUAGGCUUCGCGGGCGCCACUGGCGCUGACUUUGAACGUCAUGUGAUACAUUCCUGGAGCUUCAACUCAAGCCUGGAUGUUGCCGACCGUAACGGUAACACUACAAACGGCGGCGACGCCGGUGGUACCAAGAAGAAAAGCAGCAUCGGCCUCCUGGCUGGUGUGCUAGCCGGCGCGGGAACCUUGGCAAUCGCAGCGGGUUUGGCGCUGUUCCUCGUCCGGCUGAGAACGGCGUAUGCCAAGAAUGGAGGACAAGACGAGGUCAUCAACGAGAGAGAACUUGACGAAGGCAAGGGACCCAAGAGCUUCUCGUAUUCGGAACUCGCCCGGGCAACCACCAACUUUGCGCCAGAACAAAAGCUAGGAAGAGGAGGAUUCGGAGACGUUUACAGAGGAACCUUAACCCAGCCGAAAAUGGUGGUAGCCAUCAAGAGAGUGGCAAAAGACUCGAGGCAGGGAAAGGAGUAUGUCGCCGAGGUGAAGGUCAUCAGCCGCGUGCGCCACCGCAACCUCGUGCAGCUCGUGGGGUGGUGCCACGAGAAGGGGGACCUGCUUCUCGUCUAUGAGUACAUGCCCAACGGCAGCCUCGACGCCCACCUCUACGGCGGCGGUAGUCCUCUGUCGUGGCCGACGAGGUACAGCAUCGCUCGGGGUGUCGCGGCGGCGCUGCUUUACCUCCACGAAGAGUCGGAGCAGUGCGUGGUGCACAGGGACGUCAAGUCGAGCAAUGUGAUGCUGGACACCAAUUUCAACGCCAAGUUAGGGGAUUUCGGCCUUGCGAGGCUCGUGGACCACGGCGGCGGCAUGGAGACGACGGCCGUGGCUGGGACGAUGGGGUACCUGGCGCCGGAAACCGCGACGACGGGUAGGGCGAGCAAGGAGUCGGACGUCUACAGCUUCGGGGUGCUGGCCUUGGAGAUCGCCUGCGGGAGGAGACCCAUCGAUUACGGCAAUAAAGAGGAUCGGGUUAGUCUCGUUGACUGGGUUUGGGAUCUCUACGGGAAGGGCGCCGUUUUGGAGGGGGCGGACGAGAAGCUGGGCUCGGACUACAACCGGCAGGAGAUGGAGCGGCUGAUGGUGGUGGGGCUGUGCUGCGCCCACCCGGACCACCUGCAACGGCCGUCGAUGCGGCAGGUGAUUGGCAUUCUUCUUUUCGAAAUGCCAUUGCCAAAUCUUCCGGUCCAGAUGCCGGAGCCGUCCUACGGAGGGGUUUCCGUUUCUAGGUCCAACCUGGCCACCAUCAACGGGUGGUCGUCGCCUCCGUCGAUUCAGCUGGCUUCCACUGACAGCAAACCACUUCCGUAUCCGCCCGUCAGGUAAAGCCAUCAGAUUCAACGUUUUCGUUUUAUUCUUCGAUUUACUCUUGGCUUGUCUUUUUAGGCGGUCGUCGCAUUAACGGGUCCAGCGACUGGGCUGACCAUUUCUCACCAAAACGGCCGUCGACCGACAGAUCUCAGUGCACGCUCCAACUCUCCCAUUAACAACCACUCGGUCCUUAGAGGUGUUAAUAAGUAGAACCUCUCUUCUCUACUUCAGUGUACUAUUUGACAGUUGUGAAGAGAAGUUCAACGUAGAUAUCUAAGGGCCUAAUCGAAGUUUUGAAGGCCAUGAUUAGAUAUCUAUUUUCUGAGUUCUUGAUGAGAGUUUUCUUGUGAUCUUAUCAUAUCUAACUAAAGCUUUCGUCAUUGUUUUUCGUAGACAAAAGAAGAGGUAUAUGGAACCAUGUUAAAGUGUUUUAUGCUAGUACCCUAUUAUGAGUUGAUCACAUCAUGUAGAUUGCAUAAACAAUAUUUUGCUAGUACCCUACUAUGGGUUUUGUUCACCUAUUUUUUUUGCUUUAUUUCAUUACUCCUAGGUGAGUUCAUGACUCCUCCACACCUUUCACUAGAACAUGGACCAGAUCUGCAUAAUCGACUAAGAGAGGAGAUCAAUUCAACCUGUCUAAGUUUAUCUUUUCUUUCAUAUCAGCUUUUAGGUGGCUGUGACUCCCAACUCUCUCUAGUGUAAGAGGAUUCCUCUCGUUUACCCUUAAAAUUCACAGGCAACACUACUGCGGAUUUGAGUUUGGCAAGAAGUGAACUCGAUGAGCUCCAAAAGAGUAAAAGGAAAAUAUGUUGUAAGUAGGGAGAAAGUACGUCCAGAUAUGGAGGAGAAGAGGGCUGGAAUAGAGGAUGGACGGGAGUUCGUGGAACAAAAUAAGCCCUCAAAAUCAAAUUUCUUGAGUUGUUUACAACCAAAUAGAGAGGGUUUUAUCUGAAGGUAGAGAACUUAAUUCAAAAUUGAUUAAAAACAAAAAAAAGAAGGAAGAGACUAAAACUCAUGAUUUCUAGAUAUUAAUAUGCAUACUCAACUAUAAACUCAUGAGAUGCAGUUAGGAAUCUAACUUAAUGUUUUCCUUCAAACUAGUUACAUUGAUAUUGAUGAUAUUUCUCAAUUGUUGUCCUUACAUGGCAUCUAAAGAUGCUGCAUUAACAUGAAGCCGUACCUAGGUCAAUACAUACAUUUUAACAAUAUGGGAAUUUUUUUUAUUAAAGUCAAUACCUUUCUCUUUGCAUAAACCUUUCACAACUAAUUUAGUCUUGUACUUUAGAUGUAAAGGUUAUCAUUGAGUCUUCAGCUUGAAAGUUCAUUUGUUCUCUAUGGCUUUCAUCCCCUUUGAUAGUUAUACUAGAUCAUGUAUGUGGUUUUUCUACAAUGCCUCCAUUUCUUCACACAUUGCUACUAGCCACUUAAUUUUAAGCUCAAUUUCAACUACCUUUCGGUAACUAUCUAGUUCGCCUACAUCAGUAAGUAUAAUAUAUUUACCUAGAGGAUGAAUUUUAGAAGGUUUUAUAUGAUCCAAGAAAAAUUAUAGAUGAGUCUUCAUGGGAGAAUGUUCCUUCACUUCUCCAUGCUCAUCAUGUUGAUAGACUCCUAAGUACCCAAGUCCCUUGUCGCCAGAAACGGAGCAAAAGAAAGGAACGGAUUGCCAGAGCGGAAGACCAGCGCCCAACAUGAGUAAGUUUUGGGCCAGAAAUGAUGGGCCCAGAUGGAGGGCUUGGGCUGGUUAAGGCCUGACCAGUCAACAGCCAACUGUCACAGCGACAGUUUAAAUACUAGAGCAAGAGAUCGAGCGGGAGGAGAGAAAAAUCAAGAUUCUUCUACCCCAUCUGCCUCGACGUUUCACUCUGUCUGUCUGUCUGUCUGUCUCUCUCUCUCUCUCUCUCUCCCUCUCUCUCUCUCUGUUUCGCUCUCUAUUUCUCUCUCUCUUUCUUUCGUCAUGAUCUCGGCUAGAUCUGCUGUUCAUCAACAUCCUUGCUGCCUGAUCCUUUACCUCCUUCUGCAUUGUCUUUCCGGAGUUCGGAAAUGAUUGCUCUCGAGAUCAGGAACUAGUAAUUCUUGCAUUUCAAGAAAUUGAGAAAGGUGAUUGCGUACGUAAUACUUCUUCUUGUUCUCUGAAAUUCUUGUGUCUAAAAUCUUAAUAUCUUAUUUUGAGUAAAUUUCUUGAUAUCCUUCUGUUCUAUCUUUGAAUCAUUGGUUGAACUUCAACCGUUCCCUCCAAAUUUAUAUUGAUUGUGAGGAAUAUAAAAAAAGGAGAUCCUAUCACAUGUCUUAUAGGCAAGUUUGCAUCAAUUUCACUUAUAUCAUGUCCAUAGUAUUAGAAAGGCAGCAGCUGGAUGACGGGCAGCGGUGGAAAUAGUCGGACGGAAGAAGUGGUGGCAGAUGGAUAUUGGCCCUCAGGACCUCUCCUUCGGAGCGAAGAUGGUUGACCCUCACGGCCUCUCCCUCAUGGAGCAGACACAAGUAGUUCCUCAGAAUAAUCUCUUAUCUGGAGAUGGUCGCAAGACCUCGCCGCUCCUAGUUAGAAGCUCCACCUUUGUCUCUAUCUGGUCGUUGUCGCCAUCUGUCGUCGCCUCCACCACUGCCUUCGCUGCCACCGCCAUCUUCCUCGUCUUCUGCCGUCGUCUUCUUCCUCGUCGUCCACCACCAUAGGGGCGCGAGACAACUCUCUCUAAGGAGCUCGGCAAAAUAGCCCCGUAACUUCGGGAGAAGGGGUGCCUCCUCACAAAGGGGGUUGCAGCGACCAGGCCUGGGCGACUGCCGCCACUAUUUUGUAUAUGUCCGCUUCGGCCUCCGACACUCUUGGUCCGCCACUAUCUCUACCUUCAUUGCCGUCGCCUCCAUCCCGUCGCCGACCACCUCAUCGCCGCCGCCGGCUGUCCAAGAUCAACCCCAUUCUGUCGUCGCCGCCACCAUCCCUUCCCGCUUCUUCCACUGCCAUUGUCGCCCUUCCCAACCUUUGUUCCUCUGGUGAUCUGUUCCGCCGGUUUCUUUCCCAAUUAGGGCUUAAAGGCCCCGAUUCGUGGGUCCCAAUCUACUGGUUGAACUCGUUCGGUGAUCUCGACCAGGCCACCCUCCGAUGCGAGCCCCAUUGGUCUGAACGAACCCGCCACAGGUUCGAGCCAACGUGGACAAUUGGGUCCACGUCGUUCUCCCGCGCCAGGCCGAGCCAUUCUGACCAUCUGGUCCACGUCGGGCAUCCCGUCCAGCUGGAGCCAAGACUCAAUCAAAUUUCUACGACAUAGUGAAUGAUCAAUUAUCUAGGCAACGGUCAACAGCGUGGUCAAAAGUCAACUAUUAAUAUUCUGCAACCAAUAGUCUCUCUUCUCAGUCCUUUCCAAGGUAAGUAGUUCUCACGCAUCAUAUAUCUCUGCUCAUUUAAUAUAUUCUUAUUGCGAUUGUCCGAGGGUGACUAUAGUGUAACCAUAUGUUUCUGAGUUUAAUGAGCAUAGUAUAACGACUGGUGACUUUUCUGAGCUACCCGAUCACGGCUGUCCUUGUAGAAACACAGCCGUCACGAGGGCCCUCGGCCGUCAACCUUGUGGGAAGAAAUGUACCCGUCAGACCUCAGCUUUCCUCCUGCCCGUGGACAGCGUAGAGGUCAACGUGGACAGGCCACAUGCACUGAAUGCAAUUAAACGUGUUUAAACAUUGUACCCCGUCAGUCUUCAUUUUUGUAAAGAUUUCAAGGAUCUUCCAUGGAAAAUCUAAAAGCUCAACGAAUUAUCUUUGAUGCGAAGUGGAAGUGAAAAGGAUCGAGUAGUUUAAGAAAACCAUUUGAUGUAGAAUGCUCAACGAUUUUAUAGUUCAGAAAAUGUUUAAUACCACAGUUUAACAAUACACUGAAUAUGUAAAGUGGCUAUCGUAUGAUCUCUCAACCCACUAUAACAAGAAAGUAUAUUAAAUGAACAAAUGAAAUAGAGAAAUAAGAAGAUAUACUUGAACAUUGAAAAUAACGGUUGACCAUUGACCAAUAUAUUUGACCUUUUAUCUGUUUACCGAUGACUUGUCCUUGUUGACGGUUGACUGUGGAUGACCAAUCAGCUGCAGCGGCUCACAGCUAAGGGGUGGACCUGACUUGGUCCCAGUGGCUGGAUGGCUUUCGCCAGACGGUUUGGAUCGCGGCUGGCUAAAAGGUGUAAGUGUUGGUGGGCGGCUGGAAAUGGGCCAGGUAAAAUCAAGCCCUAGCCGUAAGAGGAGGGGCCAUCAGGAGGCGGCGGGAGAGGGGAAAGAGGGGUCGGUGGCGACGGCAGGCGGAGGCUGCAGCCGGUGGCGAGGGGAUGGCAGGCAGCGGCGGGCGGCGGAAAGGUGAGAGCUGGCGGCAAGGCCAUGGCUGGUAGCGGCAGGCGGUGGCAGGCGUCGGGAAGACGACGGCUGGCGGUGGCGGGAGGUAAUGGCGGCGAGCAGUGGCCGGCAGCGACGGGCGGAGGAUGAUGCGACUGGAAGGUGGUGGCGAUGCAGGCCGCGGCGGUACAAUGGCGAUAGAAGAAAGGGAAGGUGGGGGAGGGAAUGGUGCUCCAGACCAAGAGUGGCGGGGUCCUCUGACCAACCCAAGCCGGGGUGACGGGAUCUUACGAUCAGUUAAGAUAAGGAACUAAUCCUCAAAACUCCAUUUUUAAUUCUCCUUAAAUCAAAGGUCUGAAGGCCGAUUUAUAAGCCUUUCUACAGUGAAAUCUUAGUCAGUCAAUAAUGAAGGAAAUCUUCUAUUGCAAGGCAUUUGUUUUGAUGGCUUAAUCGGCGCGUAGCCGGAUCAAGGGCGUCGUCCACACCUUCUAUGUUGGUCAUUCCCCCAAUUUGAUUCAAAUCACCUUCCUUGAUCAAGAGAUGGUUUGGGCGCGCUGCAUCAAUCCCCCACCGCAAAAAGCGGUCCUCGUGGCCACGGCAGGGUUGGUUGGUGAUCCUCACCGUCCUUCCGGGAAAAGACCUCGCGACUUACCCCUUGUCCCCUUCGAGGACGAUGGAACCUUCGUGUGGCGGCUCCGGUAGGUCAACUUGGGGCUGGAUGGUCGCCGCCUUUCUUGAAAGCCUCACCGGAACACGCGUAGACCGAAGCGAUUAUCGCUUCAUUAUUUAGGGGCGCCGCCACCCACUCGCCCAUCAGGAGGAGCGCUCGAAUUUAAUAAACGAGCGGUUACUGUCACGAUAACAAGGCCGAGAACUUACAAAAUGUUUCAUAGCCAGAGUGCCGUGACGGCUUUCGCACCUUACAGCGGCCUUGUGGAGGCCCCAACCCACCUCCACGGAAAUCAUCGUUGAGCCAUGCCGCCGGGCGCCUCCAUCGCCUCUUUGCUCCUCCUGCUCGCCUUCGUCCUCGAGGCGCGAGGGGAGACGGUGACCACCUCUUUCAACUUCCCCAGUUUCGAUUCCAGCCCCACAGACAUCACCUUCCUGGCCGAUGCCUCAUCCGCCAACGGAUCCCUAGAGCUCAACUUGAACGCCGGAUACAGCCUCGGCCGAGCCAUCUACUCGAAACCAAUCCGCCUCUGGGACAACGAAACCAAGAGUCUUGCAAGCUUCACCACAAACUUCUCUUUCUCCGUGAUCCGGCGUCCGAACACGACGGAUAACGGCGAUGGGUUAGCCUUCUUCCUCGCCCCCGUCGGCUACCCUAUUCCGGAGAACAGCACGGGUGGUUCAUUCACGCUCUUCAACCGCUCAUGUGUAGACCAACCCGCAAAGGUCCCCGUAGUAGCCGUCGAGUUCGACACCUUCCAAAACAGAGGAGAAGACGCGGCCCCCCAUGUGGGGAUCGACCUCGGCUGCUACAAGUCGAUUAGGAGCUCGAUUUGGGAGUCGCUCGAGGGUCAGACCAGUGUCACGAUCGACGCAGUGAUCACCUAUGAUGCAGGCACCACCACGCUGACAGCCUUCUUCUCCGGCAGGAGCGGCUACAUCAGGACCCUACCUUACGUCGUCGACCUGAGAAACGAGCUUCCCGAAAGGGUUGACAUUGGUUUCGCUGGCGCCACUGGUGAUUUCUUCGAACGCCAUGUGAUACAUUCCUGGAGCUUCAAUUCGAGCCUGGAUGUCGCCGUCCGUAACGGCAACACUACAAACGGAGGCGACGCGGGAGGGGGCGGCAUCAACGCUCCUCCGGACCCCCCUCCGAGCAAGAAGAAAAGCAGCAUCGGCCUACUGGCUGGUGUGCUUGCUGGCGCGGGAACCUUGGCAAUCGCAGCGGGUUUGGCACUCUUCUUCGUCCGGCGAAGAAGGGCAUAUGCCAAGAAUGGAGGACAGGACGACGUCAUCAACGACAGCGAACUUGACGAAGGCAAGGGGCCCAAGACCUUCUCUUAUUCGGAACUCGCCCGGGCAACAAGCAACUUUGCGCCAGAACAAAAGCUAGGAAGAGGAGGAUUCGGAGACGUUUACAGAGGAACCUUAACCCAGCCGAAAAUGGUGGUGGCCAUCAAAAGAGUGGCAAAAGACUCGAGGCAGGGAAAGAAGGAGUAUGUCGCCGAGGUGAAGGUCAUCAGCCGCGUGCGCCACCGCAACCUCGUGCAGCUCGUGGGGUGGUGCCACGAGAAGGGGGAGCUGCUUCUCGUCUAUGAGUACAUGCCCAACGGCAGCCUCGACGCCCGCCUCUACGGCGGUGGCAAUCCGCUGCCGUGGCCGACGAGGUACAGCAUCGCCCGGGGGGUCGCGGCGGCGCUGCUUUACCUCCACGACGAGUCGGAACAGUGCGUCGUCCACAGGGACGUCAAGUCGGACAAUGUGAUGCUGGACGCCAAUUUCAACGCCAAGUUAGGGGAUUUCGGCCUUGCGAGGCUCGUGGACCACGGCGGCGGCAUGGAGACGACGGCCGUGGCUGGGACGAUGGGGUACCUGGCGCCGGAGACCGCGACGACGGGGAGGGCGAGCAAGGAGUCGGACAUCUACAGCUUCGGGGUGCUGGCCUUGGAGAUCGCCUGCGGGAGGAGACCCAUCGAUCACGGCAAUAAAGAGGGACGAGUUAGUCUCGUCGACUGGGUGUGGGAU
rnacentral:lncRNA from 1 species